CAGGGUUUGACAUGUACCUGCACCACCGUGAGAGCGGUGUCCCUUCGGGGCGGGUACACAGGUGCUGCAUGGCUGUCGUCAGCUCGCGCCGUGAGGUGUUGGGUUAAGUCCCGCAACGAGCGCAACCCCUGUCGGCGGUUAAACCUGUCCGCCGAGACUGCCACUCCUAAAGUGGAGGAAGGUGGGGAUGACGUCAAGUCAGCACGGCCCUGACGUCCUGGGCCACACACACGCUACAAUGGCUGGGACAACGGGACGCCAACCCGCGAGGGGGAGCCAAUCCCAACAAACCCAGUCUCAGUUCGGAUGGCAGGCUGCAACCCGCCUGCCUGAAGCCGGAGUUGCUAGUAACCGGAAGUCAGCACAUUCCGGUGAAUACGUUCCC
rnacentral:rRNA from 1 species